rnacentral:rRNA from 1 species
GACGUAGGGCGCGAGCGUUGUCCGGAUUUAUUGGGCGUAAAGAGCUCGUAGGCGGCUUGUCGCGUCGACUGUGAAAACCCGCGGCUCAACUGCGGGCCUGCAGUCGAUACGGGCAGGCUAGAGUUCGGUAGGGGAGACUGGAAUUCCUGGUGUAGCGGUGAAAUGCGCAGAUAUCAGGAGGAACACCGGUGGCGAAAGCGGCGCGCUGGACCACUACUGACGCUGAGGAACGAAAGCUAGGGGAGCAAACAGG